GACGAACGCUGGCGGCGUGCCUAAUACAUGCAAGUAGAACGCUGAAGGAGGAGCUUGCUUCUCUGGAUGAGUUGCGAACGGGUGAGUAACGCGUAGGUAACCUGCCUGGUAGCGGGGGAUAACUAUUGGAAACGAUAGCUAAUACCGCAUAAGAGUAGAUGUGCAUGACAUUUGCUUAAAAGGUGCAAUUGCAUCACUACCAGAUGGACCUGCGUUGUAUUAGCUAGUUGGUGAGGUAACGGCUCACCAAGGCGACGAUACAUAGCCGACCUGAGAGGGUGAUCGGCCACACUGGGACUGAGACACGGCCCAGACUCCUACGGGAGGCAGCAGUAGGGAAUCUUCGGCAAUGGACGGAAGUCUGACCGAGCAACGCCGCGUGAGUGAAGAAGGUUUUCGGAUCGUAAAGCUCUGUUGUAAGAGAAGAACGAGUGUGAGAGUGGAAAGUUCACACUGUGACGGUAUCUUACCAGAAAGGGACGGCUAACUACGUG
rnacentral:rRNA from 1 species